rnacentral:lncRNA from 1 species
GAAAACAGCCUGAGAGGGGGGCCCAGGCUCUCUCAGAAGACGGCCUGAGUCAGGUCCACGCUCCCCCGGGAGACGGCCUGAGCAUGGGCGAGGCUCCUCCGGAAGACCUGAGCAACGGCCCAUGCCCUCCCAGGCGACGGCCUGAGCGGGGUCCAGGCUCCCCCGGAAGACACGGUCCACGCUCUCUGAGAAGAUGGCGUGUGGGUCGGCGCGGAGGAGGAGUGGAGAGAAUGAGAACAAAGCUUCCCAGUGGAAGAGAGAGCAGCUGUCUUCACGGUCAGGCCUGGGAGGGCCCAGCCUCGUGCCUGAAAGUAAAUUUAAGCAAGUUAUUCAGCGUUCAGAAGUCACUAAUUAGUGAAGCUCUACCUUAUGAAGUCUCAUUUUCAUGAGGCCCACAUUGGGAAGAUCACACAGCCAAGACAUGGCGCUGGGUUCCAGUGUUCCCACACCCAGCAAGAUUGGAGAGGACCCUGCUGGCCCAGCGCGGCUGAGAACCAUGCCAGUCAUCUGGUCCUUUAUUUUGUAACAUAAAUAUGUUUGUACGUCAGCUCGAUGGUCUUUUUCCGCCUUAGAUUUUGCUGGCACAUGCAGAGCAAGUGUGUGUGUGAAACUUAAUCCAAAGGUCAGUUACUAUUUCACAGUAAUGACUCCCAAGUGUGUGAGAGUGUAAUGAAUGUGACGAGGAGGUCAUUACACACUCGUGAAAAACUCUGGAAAUGGAAAUGGUUGAAUUCAAAUAACCAGCUGGCUUGUUAUUAAUGGGUUGGUGGCUCGUUGUUUCCACGGGGCUGAUUGAUCACAUUUAGCCCUCAUUCAUCUCUUCCCCCAUCCUGGCUGACUGGAGAGGACGCCUUCUUGGCUCUCAGCAUGCCCCUCGCGGCUGGGUCACCCUUGUUUCUCAGAGUGGAAUUCCCU